rnacentral:misc_RNA from 1 species
GUUUAUGAAUAUAGUUUCAGCUUAGUUUAGUUUUGCUACCCAAUCCUCAUAUUUUUAAACUAUAUUUUCACUGGAAAUUAGCACACACUAUGGUGCAACCUGUUACCGUCUUAAUGAGUUGUGGAAGAAUUGGAAAGUAGUUGCAGCCUUCAAUGCAAAAUUCUUAAGCUCUAUUUGUUUAAUGGAAAAUAGCUUAUUGGUGAAAAAAUAUUUUAUGAGGAAAAUAUUUUAUUCUGAGAUUCUGCCAUUUGGUUGUGAGUUACAACACUGAAAAUCUGUUAUAAGUUAUUUCUGGCAUUUGGAAUGAUUGAAAAAAGAAAUAAAAGGGCUUGUUCACUUGUGAAAAACUGGGGUAAUUUUUUAGAAAAGUUAUUUAAAAAAAAAUGAAAAACGAAGUUUUGUGUUCACAUGUGUCAUUUUUCCAAAUGGGAAUUGAAUAACUAAUAUUUCAGUUUUCCAAAAUUUAACUAAGAU